CUUAGUGGCGGACGGGUGAGUAACGCGUGGGGAACCUGCCUUGCACCGGGGGAUAACGCUUAGAAAUAGGUGCUAAUACCGCAUAAGCGCACAGAGCCGCAUGGCUCAGUGUGAAAAACUCCGGUGGUGCAAGAUGGACCCGCGUCUGAUUAGCUGGUUGGCGGGGUAACGGCCCACCAAGGCGACGAUCAGUAGCCGGCCUGAGAGGGUGAACGGCCACAUUGGGACUGAGACACGGCCCAAACUCCUACGGAAGGCAGCAG
rnacentral:rRNA from 1 species